rnacentral:rRNA from 1 species
AUGGAAAUGGUUCCCAGGGGAAUGGCCUCCCUCAAGAAUCUCGUGAAACUAUGCAUAGGGGUUUGCAAGUUUGAUAAGGAGGGUCUCCAAGUCCUCAUGGGCAUGCCUUCGCUAGCCUAUCUUCAGCUAUGCCUUAUACAUGUCAUCGAAGAAAAGCUGACCGUGGGUAGUAAUGGAUUCAGACUCCUAAAGGUGUUCCACUUCAAAUAUACGCCAGCCUCUCCUUUUGUAUCGGAACAAACAGCAAGCGGUGGACUGCGCAUCUCAGAAAAUAAAAAACGAGAUGGACUGCGGCUAACAUUUGCUCCAGGUUCUGUGCCAGCAUUCCGAUGGCUCUGUCUUGACUUGAGCCCCAUGUUUGUGGCACCAGACUUUUUUGCAAACUUGGGUGUCGAGCAUCUUCCAGGCCUUGCACAGCUCGAGGUCAAAAUCAAUUGUUAUCGAGCAGCCCUAGACAAGGUGGAGGCCUUGGAGUCUUCCGUUGAAAAAGCAAUCAACCUGCACCCCAACCGCGAAAUCCAUGUCGGUAGAGUCAAGGAUUAUGGCAUGUUCAAGGAUGAAAAGGAGUGGGAAGAGGCCGUCUUGAAGGAAAGAAAGGAGAAGGAAGAAAUUCUUAGGCAACUUCGUGAUGGAAGGUUCGCACGAAGAAACGAGACCUGA